rnacentral:misc_RNA from 1 species
AACGGGGGUUGAAAGUUUGUAUGAAAGUCCUAUGUUUUUGAAGUAAGAGACUUGAAAUUUAAAAUGUAAGCUCUUUAGAUGGUGAGAAGGUGUCCAAAUAAUGUAUCUUUAGAAAGCAACUCCCUUUUGGGGUUAAAACGGGGGAAGGUAGAUUGAUUCACUCAUCACGAAAUCUCCGGAACUAUAACAGCUACAAACUUGAAAUUUGGCAGGUAGACUCCUUAUAAAACGUAGACAUCCGCUAAGAAUGGAUUUUACGAAACUCGACCGCUAAGGGGGUAAAACGGGG